UACGUAGGGUGCAAGCGUUAAUCGGAAUUACUGGGCGUAAAGCGUGCGCAGGCGGUUUUGUAAGUCUGACGUGAAAUCCCCGGGCUCAACCUGGGAAUUGCGUUGGAGACUGCAAGGCUAGAAUCUGGCAGAGGGGGGGUAGAAUUCCACGUGUAGCAGUGAAAUGCGUAGAGAUGUGGAGGAACACCGAUGGCGAAGGCAGCCCCCUGGGUCAAGAUUGACGCU
rnacentral:rRNA from 1 species